rnacentral:rRNA from 1 species
AAUGCUUAAAGGCUUAACUUUAAAACUGCAACGGAAACUGCUAGGCUUGAGUACAGGUGAGGUAAAGGGAAUUUCCGGUGAAGCGGUGAAAUGCGUAGAUAUUGGAAGGAACACCAAUGGCGAAAGCACUCUACUGGACUUUUACUGACACUCAGAGACGAAAGCUAGGGUAGCAAAUGGGAUUAGAUACCCCAGUAGUCCUAGCCGUAAACGAUGGAUACUAAACAUUGCCUGCAUCGAUCCGCGUGGUGUUAUAGCUAACGCGUUAAGUAUCCCGCCUGGGAAGUAUGCUCGCAAGGGUGAAACUCAAAGGAAUUGACGGGGGCCCGCACAAGCGGUGGAGCAUGUGGUUUAAUUUGAUGCAACGCGAAGAACCUUACCAGGGUUUGACAUGGUGUUAAUUCUUUGAAAAAAAAAAUACGCCUUUCGGGAAACAGACCCCGGUGGGGCAUGGCUGUCCUCCGCUCCUGUCCUGAGAAGGUGGGUUAAGUCCCGCAACCAGCGCAACCCUUGGUUUUAGUUAAUUUUACUCUAAAAAC